GCCCCAACACCAGGAUUCCCAAGUGUUCCAAUCAGUACUCAGGACAGGACACAGACAAGUCACAAUGGAGUUUGUGCUUGGCUGGGUUUUCCUUGUUGCUCUUUUAAAAGGUGUCCAGUGUGAGGUGCAGCUGGUGGAGUCUGGGGGAGACCUGGUGAAGCCUGGGGGGUCCCUGAGACUCUCCUGUGCAGCCUUUGGAUUCACCUUCAGUAGUUCCUACAUGAACUGGGUCUGCCAGGCUCCAGGGAAUGGGCUACAGUGGAUCGCAGAUAUUAGCGGUGAUGGAAGUAGCACAAGCUACGCAGACUCCGUGGAGGGCCGAUUCACCAUCUCCAGAGACAACAGCAAGGACACGCUGUAUCUGCAGAUGAACAGCCUGAGAGCCGAGGACACAGCCGUGUAUUACUGUGCAACAGACACAGUGAGGGGCCCUCAGUGUGAGCCCAGACACAAACUUCACUGUGUCCUGUCCCAGGUGCUGCUGCAGGAGUCCGGACCAAGCCUGGUGAGAGGCUCACAGAACCUGCACCUCACCAUCACCAUCUCUGGAUUCUCCAUCUCAAACG